GAUGAACGCUGGCGGCGUGCCUAAUACAUGCAAGUCGAGCGAACGGACGAGAAGCUUGCUUCUCUGAUGUUAGCGGAGGACGGGUGAGUAACACGUGGAUAACCUACCUAUAAGACGGGGAUCACCUCGGGAAACCGGAGCUAAUACCGGAGAAUCUUUUGAACCGCGUGGUGGAAAAGUGAGAGACGGUCUUGCUGUCACUUCUAGAUGGAUCCGCGCUGCAUUAGCUAGUUGGUAAGGUAACGGCCUACCAAGGGAACGAUGCAUAGCCGACCUGAGAGAGUGGUCGGCCACACUGGAGGUGAGACGGGGUCCAGAGGCCUACGGGACGGAGCAGUAGGGAACGUUCCGCAAUGGGCGAAAGCCUGACGGAGCAGCGCCGCGUGAGUGAUGAAGGUCUUCGGAUCGUAAAACUCUGUUAUUAGGUAAGAACAUAUGUGUAAGUAACUGUGCACAGCUUGACGGUAACUAGUAAGAAAGCCACGGCUAACUACGUG
rnacentral:rRNA from 1 species